rnacentral:lncRNA from 1 species
UCUACUCCUCGAUAGAUCUGCAAGCUCCUAGAUCAGCUUUGAAUCUGAUCUCCAGUAGGGUUUCGAUCAGUGCUUGAUCGCAGUCUUCUUGUUUCUUCUCGUAGAUCGGAUGGAUCUCAACACUUUGAGACCAUUAGAUGGAAUGCCCAACACUUUUGGAUGUGGGAGAGGAUCAGAGAAGAGAGUGGAGAUGGCAUGGAGAAGAGGAGAGG